rnacentral:sRNA from 1 species
GGCCUAAACCGACAGAAAUGGAGGCAUGGUCGCGGCAUCCGGUGAAAGACAGAGAACCCGUUGUGGGGAUGCUUUCACCGGUCAUACAGGGAAACUUGUAUGGGCGGGCCUCAAAAACCCGCU